UGGAUGGUUUCUUGAGUAUCUAAAUGAUGUGAAUCAUAUGCUAUGACCAUCAAAGUCACCAGAUCUCCUGCGUGAGAUUUUGUAGUGAUGUAUUAAACUGGAAUUAUUUAAAUGUCCUGUAAUUCCCAAAUAAACUGUCAGUAUUUCCUUCAGAUUCAGCUGCAUAUAAAUUAGCAGCUAUUGGAACAAUCACUGCUCUUCUCCUGGCUAUUACACUUCUUGCUGUCUUCCUAUGGAUUAGAAGAAAUAAGAGCUUCACACAUCAGUCUGAGCCUGGAGGGAGUACGGACAACAGAGCACAGCUAGGCAUGGGUCCAGUGAAUGACUCCCCGUCAGCUGCAACACAAAGUGAAAUGGCAGGACAGCAGGAUGACCUUAACUAUGCCAGCAUCAGCUUCUCUCAGGACCAGCCAGAUGCUCUCUACUCCAACAUCAGACCAGCUCAGCGCCCCAGACAAACAGAGGAAGAGGAGCAGGAUGAUGUUGAGUACAGUGAUAUCAAAUUUGACAGUGCCAGUAGUGCACCAGGAACAAGACAACAAGAAGCUGGGGAUGAAUUAUUUGCACUAUAUAGCACAGUCAACAAAAAACAUGUGAAUACAACAUGAAUUUGCUGUCUGUUAUUUAUACAUGGAUUUUUCUGGGACAUUGUUUAUGCAGGUAGCAGCACUGAGUUCAGAAAUACAGUUACUGAGACAGACAGGAAAGGACAGACCUGGCCAAGAAUGCAUCAAGGUAGCCAUAAAAACCAAAACCGCCAUAAAAAUGAAAACAUAUAAACAAAAGCAGUUUAUGUAGGAUGAGUAAAGACUUUUUUUGUUGUUUACUUUAAGGGCUCACAAAAAAUCUGGUAUGUAGCCAUGCUGAAAGUUGUAAUUUUUAAUGUCAUUUUUUAUAGACAGAUACCACAAUGGGUAAGUGAGCAUUUCCAAUUUGGGUGAACUGUCCCUUUAACACAGGUAUGGCUGUUAUGUUGUUGAGAUUCUAAUGAAACUUUACUGAAGAAAAUUCCACAAAUUGUAAAUACUGUAUAUCAGCACGUAACUGUGCAUGAUUUAUGUGUA